AUGCUUUUGAAACCAGAGAGUGUGUAUGUAUUAUCAAUGUAUGAGUAGUGGAAAUCAUGUUGACUCACAGCGCAUGUAUAUCUGCUUCGACUUCUUCUCCACUUAUCUGAAAGGAAAAAUAAUACCCUUCUCUCCAUCUUUCUCGCCCUUCUCUCCAUCUUUCUCGCUAUCUGUCGCUAUUAUCUUCUCUGGGGCACUAAAGACUCUGCCUACUUUCUGCAAUUGCUUUUCUUUUUUGUUGAUGGAGUGUUGGCGCUUUGCUGCGGAAGGUAAAGGCCUUCUGUUCUCAGAUGAAAUAGAUUCAUCUAUUGAUUCGUAUGGGAGAAAUAGAAGAGUAUUCACAGGAUGGGAUGGGGAAUCUGUCGAGAGUACUGAGUUUAUAGAUUUGAGUUUCAGCGAAAUUCCGAAAAAGCCAUUUCAUGCUAGUAGUAAUACAGGUGCGGGGAUGCUUGGUAGUGAUGAAGCUGGUAUUGAUUCUUGUAAAAUAGAACUAACUUCUCCUAGUUAUAUGAUUGCUUCAAAUUCAUCACUGGAAUCUGGGUCAAACCAUUCUAAUUCUCUCAUGGAAUCUAACAGUCAGGAUUCGUCACUAAUUGAUUUAAAGCUAGGUAGAUUGAUUGAUGGCAAAGAUGCACAAAAUAGUAAGUUUUUGAAAGAAAGAUCAGUGGUAUCUUCAGUAAGUCCAACUUCUCAGCCAAAGCGAGCUCGAACAAUGAGUUCGCGAUUACAGACUCCUCUUUGCCAGGUCUAUGGUUGUAACAAAGACCUCAGCUCCUUAAAGGAUUACCACAAGAGGCAUAAAGUUUGUGAGAUCCACUCAAAGACUCCCAAAGUUAUUGUUAAUGGUGUUGAGCAAAGGUUUUGCCAGCAGUGUAGCAGGUUUCAUUUGCUUGUUGAAUUCGACGAUGGUAAGCGCAGUUGUCGUAAACGCCUAGCUGGGCACAAUGAACGGCGAAGGAAGCCUCAGUUUGGUGCUCUCUCUGGUAGACAUAAGUUACUGCAGUCAUAUCAAGAGACAAAAUUUUUGGGGACCUGCUUGCCGAACAGAGCGUCUCUUCUGUUUCCCAACAUGCUUGCUGGUGGUAUUCUUUCUCCAGAUAGACAUGAAGCAUCUAACUGCUAUAGGCCAGUUAAAUUGGAAGAGAAAUCAGUAUACAACUCAAAUGGGCAGUUUGUUUCAAAAUCCUUUCUCCGUCUACAUGGCAAUGGGAUCCAAAACACUUCUGGAAUUUGUCCUUCAGCAACUGAUGAGUUCACUCGUCUUAAUACUGCAUCAACUGUUCAUGAGUUAGCCGGGGUGUCACAUUCCAGUUGUGCUCUCUCUCUUCUGUCAGCUGAAUCACAGGACUUAAGUCAUUCAGCAGGAAUUAUAAUGGCAAGGCCCUCGAUCAGUCAAGCUAAUCGUUCCCAUCACAGUGUUGGCAUUUCUGACAAACCAUUUGGGGUAGAGUCUUUGGAAAAGUAUUUGCCGAAUGGAUUUCAUUCAUCUGGAUUGAAUCCCUUUAAAUCUAACCAUAUGGGAUCGUUCACAGUCUCUUAUGCUGGUGAACUUCAAGUUGAACCAGACGGCUUUCUUCAAGAAUCAGAUCUUUUGAACGCGAAAUACUGUGCUUCUGAUGAAAAUGGAUCUACUGUAGAUUUGCUUCAACUUUCAUCACAUCUUCAUAGGGUCGAGCAACAGAGGAAUUCUGCACAAGUGAAGCAUGAAGUUGAGGAUUUUUCCAGUUUUCUUACCACAUAUGGGGCAUAAAAGGAGCAAGUUUUGUUGGAUCGACUGAAUUUGGAUUCUUUCAAAAACUUAUCAAAAAUCUUGGGUUAAAUGACUAUUUUGAACGUAAGCUGCAUCAAAUGUGUAGAACUGACUUCAAUGGUGCAUCAAAUGUGUAGUACUAACUUCAAUGGUGCAGUGGACAAAGGCUGGUAGACUUGAGCUCAGUGGAAACUUAAGAUACAACAUGCAAUACAUUCCGUUACUGAUAAGUAUAUAACAGAAAUUUAUUAAUAUGGUUUAAUUACUCUAGAUCAUGUAAGUUUAAUACUCUUUCUUGCUCUAGAUUACUCUAUUUUGGCCGGCCUUGUAAAUUUUAUGCUGGUUCUAAAUCAAGGAUUCAGUUCCUCAGUCAAUACAACUUGGCAUUUCAUCAAAUAUCCUUCACUUUUUAUUUAUCCAAAGCAGAUUCUGGGUUGCAUCACUUUGUGAAGGGGCAAAUUUUGAAGGGACAAAGAAAAGAGGCAAAAUGAAAAAUAUGCAGUAAUCUUUUUUUAUUUUUAUAAAUUUCUUUUUAUGGUUCUUAA